rnacentral:rRNA from 1 species
UNUGCUGUGAAAGGCUGGGGCUUAACCCUGGUUUUGCAGUGGGUACGGGCUAANUAGAGUGCAGUAGGGGAGACUGGAAUUCCUGGUGUAGCGGUGGAAUGCGCAGAUAUCAGGAGGAACACCGAUGGCGAAGGCAGGUCUCUGGGCUGUAACUGACGCUGAGAAGCGAAAGCAUGGGGAGCGAACAGGAUUAGAUACCCUGGUAGUCCAUGCCGUAAACGUUGGGCACUAGGUGUGGGGGACAUUCCACGUUUUCCGCGCCGUAGCUAACGCAUUAAGUGCCCCGCCUGGGGAGUACGGCCGCAAGGCUAAAACUCAAAGAAAUUGACGGGGGCCCGCACAAGCGGCGGAGCAUGCGGAUUAAUUCGAUGCAACGCGAAGAACCUUACCAAGGCUUGACAUAUACUGGACUGCGUCAGAGAUGGCGUUUCCCUUCGGGGCUGGUAUACAGGUGGUGCAUGGUUGUCGUCAGCUCGUGUCGUGAGAUGUUGGGUUAAGUCCCGCAACGAGCGCAACCCUCGUUCUAUGUUGCCAGCACGUGAUGGUGGGGACUCAUAGGAGACUGCCGGGGUUAACUCGGAGGAAGGUGGGGAUGACGUCAAAUCAUCAUGCCCCUUAUGUCUUGGGCUUCACGCAUGCUACAAUGGCCGGUACAGAGGGUUGCGAUACUGUGAGGUGGAGCUAAUCCCUAAAAGCCGGUCUCAGUUCGGAUUGGGGUCUGCAACUCGACCCCAUGAAGUCGGAGUCGCUAGUAAUCGCAGAUCAGCAACGCUGCGGUGAAUACGUUCCCGGGCCUUGUACACACCGCCCGUCAAGUCACGAAAGUUGGUAACACUCGAAG